rnacentral:rRNA from 1 species
AUUGAACGCUGGCGGCAGGCCUAACACAUGCAAGUCGAACGAGUGGCGGACGGGUGAGUAAUGUCUGGGAAACUGCCCGAUGGAGGGGGAUAACUACUGGAAACGGUAGCUAAUACCGCAUACCAUCUGAUGUGCCAUGAUGGAAUUAGGUGGUAGGUGGGGUAACGGCUCACAUAGGCGACGAUCCCUAGCGGGGCUGAGAGGAUGACCCGCAAAUCGGGAAUGGAGAAACGGUCAAGCUUCUAACGGGAGGAAGCAGGGGGGAACUUCGGACAAUGGGCGAAAGCCUGAGGCAGCACGCCGGGGUGUAGGAAGAAGGCUUUCGGGUUUAAAAGUCCUUUAAUCGGGGAGGCGUUACCCGAAUAGGAAGCCACGGCUAACUCCGUGCCAGCAGCCGCGGUAAUAC